rnacentral:rRNA from 1 species
CCUACGGGUGGCUGCAGUGAGGAAUAUUGGUCAAUGGACGAGAGUCUGAACCAGCCAAGUAGCGUGAAGGAUGACUGCCCUAUGGGUUGUAAACUUCUUUUAUAUGGGAAUAAAAUGUUCCACGUGUGGGAUUUUGUAUGUACCAUAUGAAUAAGGAUCGGCUAACUCCGUGCCAGCAGCCGCGGUAAUACGAAGGAUCCGAGCGUUAUCCGGAUUUAUUGGGUUUAAAGGGAGCGUAGGUGGAUUGUUAAGUCAGUUGUGAAAGUUUGCGGCGCAACCGUAAAAUUGCAGUUGAAACUGGCAGUCCUGAGUACAGUAGAGGUGGGCGGAAUUCGUGGUGUAGCGGUGAAAUGCUUAGAGAUCACGAAGAACUGCGAUUGCGAAGGCAGUUCACUGGACUGCAACUGACACUGAGGCUCGAAAGUGUGGGUAUCAAACAGGAAUAGAUACCCGAGUAGUC